rnacentral:rRNA from 1 species
UACAUGGGGUGCAAACGUUGCUCGGAAUUACUGGGCGUAAAGCGCACGUAGGCGGUUCGUUAAGUCGGAUGUGAAAGCCCUCGGCUCAACUGAGGAAGUGCACCCGAAACUGGCGAGCUUGAGUACGAAAGAGGAUCGCGGAAUUCCCGGUGUAGAGGUGAAAUUCGUAGAUAUCGGGAGGAACACCGGUGGCGAAGGCGGCGAUCUGGGUCGAUACUGACGCUGAGGUGCGAAAGCGUGGGGAGCAAACAGG